AGUGAACGCUGGCGGCGUGCCUAAUACAUGCAAGUCGAACGGAGUGGCGAACGGGUGAGUAAUGUAUAGCUAAUCUGCCCUACACUAGAGGACAAAAGAUGGAAACGACUGCUAAUACUCUAUAGUGUAGGAUGAGGCUAUAUUGUAUCAGCUAGUUGGUGAGGUAAUGGCUCACAAAGGCGAUGACGCAUAACUGGUCUGAGCGGAUGAUCAGUCACACGGGAACUGAUACACCGUCCAGACUCCUACUGGAGGCAGCAGUAGGUAAUAUUGCUCAAUGGGGGAAACCCUGAAGCAGCAGCGGCGCGUGAAGUAUGACACUUUUCGGAGCGUAAACUCCUUUUGUUAGGGAAGCGGUACCUAACGAAUAAGCACCGGCUAACUCCGUGCCAGCAGCCGCGGUAAUUC
rnacentral:rRNA from 1 species